rnacentral:rRNA from 1 species
UACGUAGGGUGCGAGCGUUGCCCGGAUUUAUUGGGCGUAAAGGGCGCGUAGGCGGCCACGCACGUCCGUUGUGAAAUCGCCCGGCUCAACUGGGCUAGGUCAGCGGAUACGGUGUGGCUCGAGCAAGCUAGGGGCAAUGGAAUUCCCGGUGUAGUGGUGGAAUGCGUAGAUAUCGGGAGGAACACCAGUGGCGAAGGCGGUUGCCUGGAGCUUUGCUGACGCUGAUGCGCGAAAGCGUGGGUAGCAAACAGG